UCCCUCAGAAAUGUCAAAUGCGCAGACGCGAUGAGGGUCGAGCGACCCGCACUAUCGCGGACGCUGCCGGUCCCAGUAGCCUGCGAUCAGGCGGCGCGACCUGGUGCUCAGCCGAGAUCUGAAGAGC